rnacentral:rRNA from 1 species
AUUGAACGCUGGCGGCAGGCUUAACACAUGCAAGUCGAACGGUAACAGGAAGAAAGCUUGCUUUCUUUGCUGACGAGUGGCGGACGGGUGAGUAAUGCUUGGGAAUCUGCCUUAUGGAGGGGGAUAACUACGGGAAACUGUAGCUAAUACCGCGUAAUAUCUACGGAUUAAAGUAUGGGAUCUUCGAACCAUAUGCCAUAAGAUGAGCCCAAGUGAGAUUAGGUAGUUGGUGGGGUAAAGGCUUACCAAGCUGACGAUCUCUAGCUGGUUUAAGAGGAUGACCAGCCACACUGGAACUGAGACACGGUCCAGACUCCUACGGGAGGCAGCAGUGGGGAAUAUUGCACAAUGGGCGCAAGCCUGAUGCAGCCAUGCCGCGUGAAUGAAGAAGGCUUUCGGGUUGUAAAGUUCUUUCGGCGAUGAGGAAGGUGCUAUAUCUAAUAGGUGUAGCAAUUGACGUUAGUCGCAGAAGGAGCACCGGCUAACUCCGUGCCAGCAGCCGCGGUAAUACGGAGGGUGCGAGCGUUAAUCGGAAUAACUGGGCGUAAAGGGCACGCAGGCGGUUGUCUAAGUCAGAUGUGAAAGCCCCGAGCUUAACUUGGGAAUUGCAUUUGAGACUGGGCGACUAGAGUCCUCUAGGGAGGGGUAGAAUUCCACGUGUAGCGGUGAAAUGCGUAGAGAUGUGGAGGAAUACCGAAGGCGAAGGCAGCCCCUUGGAGAGAGACUGACGCUGAGGUGCGAAAGCGUGGGUAGCAAACAGG